GUGCCAGCCGCCGCGGUAAUACAGAGGGUGCAAGCGUUAAUCGGAAUUACUGGGCGUAAAGCGUGCGUAGACGGUUGCGUAAGUCAGAUGUGAAAGCCCCGGGCUCAACCUGGGAAUUGCAUUUGAGACUGCGUAGCUAGGGUGCGGAAGAGGGAAGCGGAAUUUCCGGUGUAGCGGUGAAAUGCGUAGAUAUCGGAAGGAACACCAGUGGCGAAAGCGGCUUCCUGGUCCAGCACCGACGUUCAGGCACGAAAGCGUGGGGAGCAAACAGGAUUAGAAACCCCGGUAGUCC
rnacentral:rRNA from 1 species